rnacentral:rRNA from 1 species
GGGUUGUGAGGUUAAGCGACUAAGCGUACACGGUGGAUGCCCUGGCAGUCAGAGGCGAUGAAGGACGUGCUAAUCUGCGAUAAGCGUCGGUAAGGUGAUAUGAACCGUUAUAACCGGCGAUUUCCGAAUGGGGAAACCCAGUGUGUUUCGACACACUAUCAUUAACUGAAUCCAUAGGUUAAUGAGGCGAACCGGGGGAACUGAAACAUCUAAGUACCCCGAGGAAAAGAAAUCAACCGAGAUUCCCCCAGUAGCGGCGAGCGAACGGGGAGCAGCCCAGAGCCUGAAUCAGUGUGUGUGUUAGUGGAAGCGUCUGGAAAGGCGCGCGAUACAGGGUGACAGCCCCGUACACAAAAAUGCACAUGCUGUGAGCUCGAUGAGUAGGGCGGGACACGUGGUAUCCUGUCUGAAUAUGGGGGGACCAUCCUCCAAGGCUAAAUACUCCUGACUGACCGAUAGUGAACCAGUACCGUGAGGGAAAGGCGAAAAGAACCCCGGCGAGGGGAGUGAAAAAGAACCUGAAACCGUGUACGUACAAGCAGUGGGAGCACGCUUAGGCGUGUGACUGCGUACCUUUUGUAUAAUGGGUCAGCGACUUAUAUUCUGUAGCAAGGUUAACCGAAUAGGGGAGCCGAAGGGAAACCGAGUCUUAACUGGGCGUUAAGUUGCAGGGUAUAGACCCGAAACCCGGUGAUCUAGCCAUGGGCAGGUUGAAGGUUGGGUAACACUAACUGGAGGACCGAACCGACUAAUGUUGAAAAAUUAGCGGAUGACUUGUGGCUGGGGGUGAAAGGCCAAUCAAACCGGGAGAUAGCUGGUUCUCCCCGAAAGCUAUUUAGGUAGCGCCUCGUGAACUCAUCUCCGGGGGUAGAGCACUGUUUCGGCAAGGGGGUCAUCCCGACUUACCAACCCGAUGCAAACUGCGAAUACCGGAGAAUGUUAUCACGGGAGACACACGGCGGGUGCUAACGUCCGUCGUGAAGAGGGAAACAACCCAGACCGCCAGCUAAGGUCCCAAAGUCAUGGUUAAGUGGGAAACGAUGUGGGAAGGCCCAGACAGCCAGGAUGUUGGCUUAGAAGCAGCCAUCAUUUAAAGAAAGCGUAAUAGCUCACUGGUCGAGUCGGCCUGCGCGGAAGAUGUAACGGGGCUAAACCAUGCACCGAAGCUGCGGCAGCGACGCUUAUGCGUUGUUGGGUAGGGGAGCGUUCUGUAAGCCUGUGAAGGUGUGCUGUGAGGCAUGCUGGAGGUAUCAGAAGUGCGAAUGCUGACAUAAGUAACGAUAAAGCGGGUGAAAAGCCCGCUCGCCGGAAGACCAAGGGUUCCUGUCCAACGUUAAUCGGGGCAGGGUGAGUCGACCCCUAAGGCGAGGCCGAAAGGCGUAGUCGAUGGGAAACAGGUUAAUAUUCCUGUACUUGGUGUUACUGCGAAGGGGGGACGGAGAAGGCUAUGUUGGCCGGGCGACGGUUGUCCCGGUUUAAGCGUGUAGGCUGGUUUUCCAGGCAAAUCCGGAAAAUCAAGGCUGAGGCGUGAUGACGAGGCACUACGGUGCUGAAGCAACAAAUGCCCUGCUUCCAGGAAAAGCCUCUAAGCAUCAGGUAACAUCAAAUCGUACCCCAAACCGACACAGGUGGUCAGGUAGAGAAUACCAAGGCGCUUGAGAGAACUCGGGUGAAGGAACUAGGCAAAAUGGUGCCGUAACUUCGGGAGAAGGCACGCUGAUAUGUAGGUGAAGCGACUUGCUCGUGGAGCUGAAAUCAGUCGAAGAUACCAGCUGGCUGCAACUGUUUAUUAAAAACACAGCACUGUGCAAACACGAAAGUGGACGUAUACGGUGUGACGCCUGCCCGGUGCCGGAAGGUUAAUUGAUGGGGUUAGCGCAAGCGAAGCUCUUGAUCGAAGCCCCGGUAAACGGCGGCCGUAACUAUAACGGUCCUAAGGUAGCGAAAUUCCUUGUCGGGUAAGUUCCGACCUGCACGAAUGGCGUAAUGAUGGCCAGGCUGUCUCCACCCGAGACUCAGUGAAAUUGAACUCGCUGUGAAGAUGCAGUGUACCCGCGGCAAGACGGAAAGACCCCGUGAACCUUUACUAUAGCUUGACACUGAACAUUGAGCCUUGAUGUGUAGGAUAGGUGGGAGGCUUUGAAGUGUGGACGCCAGUCUGCAUGGAGCCGACCUUGAAAUACCACCCUUUAAUGUUUGAUGUUCUAACGUUGACCCGUAAUCCGGGUUGCGGACAGUGUCUGGUGGGUAGUUUGACUGGGGCGGUCUCCUCCUAAAGAGUAACGGAGGAGCACGAAGGUUGGCUAAUCCUGGUCGGACAUCAGGAGGUUAGUGCAAUGGCAUAAGCCAGCUUGACUGCGAGCGUGACGGCGCGAGCAGGUGCGAAAGCAGGUCAUAGUGAUCCGGUGGUUCUGAAUGGAAGGGCCAUCGCUCAACGGAUAAAAGGUACUCCGGGGAUAACAGGCUGAUACCGCCCAAGAGUUCAUAUCGACGGCGGUGUUUGGCACCUCGAUGUCGGCUCAUCACAUCCUGGGGCUGAAGUAGGUCCCAAGGGUAUGGCUGUUCGCCAUUUAAAGUGGUACGCGAGCUGGGUUUAGAACGUCGUGAGACAGUUCGGUCCCUAUCUGCCGUGGGCGCUGGAGAACUGAGGGGGGCUGCUCCUAGUACGAGAGGACCGGAGUGGACGCAUCACUGGUGUUCGGGUUGUCAUGCCAAUGGCACUGCCCGGUAGCUAAAUGCGGAAGAGAUAAGUGCUGAAAGCAUCUAAGCACGAAACUUGCCCCGAGAUGAGUUCUCCCUGACCCUUUAAGGGUCCUGAAGGAACGUUGAAGACGACGACGUUGAUAGGCCGGGUGUGUAAGCGCAGCGAUGCGUUGAGCUAACCGGUACUAAUGAACCGUGAGGCUUAACCUUACAACGCCGAAGCUGUU